CCGGCGCACGGGUGAGUAACACGUAUCCAACUUGCCGUCUACUCUUGGACAGCCUUCUGAAAGGAAGAUUAAUACAAGAUGGCAUCAUGAGUUCACAUGUUCACAUGAUUAAAGGUAUUCCGGUAGACGAUGGGGAUGCGUUCCAUUAGAUAGUAGGCGGGGUAACGGCCCACCUAGUUUUCGAUGGAUAGGGGUUCUGAGAGGAAGGUCCCCCACAUUGGAACUGAGACACGGUCCAA
rnacentral:rRNA from 1 species